rnacentral:rRNA from 1 species
AUUGAACGCUGGCGGCAUGCUUUACACAUGCAAGUCGGACGGCAGCACAGAGAAGCUUGCUUCUUGGGUGGCGAGUGGCGAACGGGUGAGUAACAUAUCGGAACGUACCGAGUAAUGGGGGAUAACUAAUCGAAAGAUUAGCUAAUACCGCAUAUUCUCUGAGGAGGAAAGCAGGGGACCUUCGGGCCUUGCGUUAUUCGAGCGGCCGAUAUCUGAUUAGCUAGUUGGUAGGGUAAAGGCCUACCAGGGCGACGAUCAGUAGCGGGUCUGAGAGGAUGAUCCGCCACACUGGGACUGAGACACGGCCCAGACUCCUACGGGAGGCAGCAGUGGGGAAUUUUGGACAAUGGGCGCAAGCCUGAUCCAGCCAUGCCGCGUGUCUGAAGAAGGCCUUCGGGUUGUAAAGGACUUUUGUCAGGGAAGAAAAGGCUGUCGCUAAUACCGACAGUUGAUGACG